UACGUAGGGCGCAAGCGUUGUCCGGAAUUAUUGGGCGUAAAGAGCUCGUAGGCGGCCAGUUGCGUCUGCUGUGAAAUCCCGGGGCUCAACCCCGGGCGUGCAGUGGAUACGGGCUGGCUAGAGGCAGGCAGGGGAGAACGGAAUUCCCGGUGUAGCGGUGAAAUGCGCAGAUAUCAGGAGGAACACCGGUGGCGAAGGCGGUUCUCUGGGCAUUACCUGACGCUGAGGAGCGAAAGUGUGGGGAGCGAACAGG
rnacentral:rRNA from 1 species